rnacentral:rRNA from 1 species
UAGCAAUAUCAUAGUGGCGCACGGGUGCGUAACACGUAUGCAACCUACCUUAUACUGAGGGAUAGCCUUUCGAAAGGGAGAUUAAUACCUCAUAACACAUUGAACUGGCAUCAGUUUAUUGUUAAAGAUUUAUUGGUAUAAGAUGGGCAUGCGUCCAAUUAGUUAGUUGGCGAGGUAACGGCUCACCAAGACGAUGAUUGGUAGGGGAACUGAGAGGUUAAUCCCCCACACUGGCACUGAGAUACGGGCCAGACUCCUACGGGAGGCAGCAGUAGGGAAUAUUGGGCAAUGGAGGCAACUCUGACCCAGCCAUGCCGCGUGCAGGAAGAAGGCGUUAUGCGUUGUAAACUGCUUUUAUAUAGGAAGAAAUAGACCUUGCGAGGUAAGUUGACGGUACUAUAUGAAUAAGCACCGGCUAACUCCGUGCCAGCAGCCGCGGUAAUACGGAGGGUGCAAGCGUUGUCCGGAUUUAUUGGGUUUAAAGGGUGCGUAGGCGGUUUAUUAAGUCAGUGGUGAAAGACGGUCGCUCAACGAUUGCAGUGCCAUUGAUACUGGUAGACUUGAGUGGGAUUGAGGUAGCUGGAAUGGAUAGUGUAGCGGUGAAAUGCAUAGAUAUUAUCCAGAACACCAAUUGCGUANGCAAGUUACUAAGUCUCAACUGACGCUGAGGCACGAAAGCGUGGGUAUCAAACAGGAUUAGAUACCCUGGUAGUCCCCACUGUAAACGAU